CAAGCACAACGCAUUCCGGAACAAUAAACCCCUUUUUCUGCAAUCCAAAGCCUGAGAAAAAUAGCUGUUAAACAGCAUUUUCCUCAGUGCCUAUGACUGUAGCUCACAGACUAGGAAUACAGCAACACACAAGCACAGGGCAAGCGUCCAUUCCACGCUGCGCUCCCACACGGAUCUCCACACCACAGACAUCCUUCCCAGGUCCAGCUCGAUUCAGACCAAAACGCACCUUCCCCAGCUCUGCCGGGGGCAGGAAAACGUGCGGUGAUGAAUAGGGAUCCGUCUGCCCCUCUCGUCACAAGCAGCAGGCUGGUUGUUCCAUGGAAUAAUCUAGAUAUCUACAGACCCAAGCGUCGG